rnacentral:rRNA from 1 species
UAAUACAGAGGUGGCAAGCGUUGUUCGGAAUUACUGGGCGUAAAGGGCGCGUAGGUGGCCUUCUUAGUCAGACGUGAAAUCCCCGGGCUUAACUUGGGAACUGCGUCUGAUACUGGAAGGCUCGAGUUCGGGAGAGGAAUGUGGAAUUCCAGGUGUAGCGGUGAAAUGCGUAGAUAUCUGGAGGAACACCGGUGGCGAAGGCGGCAUUCUGGACCGAAACUGACGCUGAGGCGCGAAAGCCAGGGGAGCAAACGGGAUUAGAUACCCCGGUAGUCCUGGCCCUAAACGAUGAA